rnacentral:rRNA from 1 species
CAGCUUGCUGCUUUGCUGACGAGUGGCGGACGGGUGAGUAAUGUCUGGGAAACUGCCUGAUGGAGGGGGAUAACUACUGGAAACGGUGGCUAAUACCGCAUAACGUCGCAAGACCAAAGAGGGGGACCUUCGGGCCUCUUGCCAUCAGAUGUGCCCAGAUGGGAUUAGCUUGUUGGUGAGGUAACGGCUCACCAAGGCGACGAUCCCUAGCUGGUCUGAGAGGAUGACCAGCCACACUGGAACUGAGACACGGUCCAGACUCCUACGGGAGGCAGCAGUGGGGAAUAUUGCACAAUGGGCGCAAGCCUGAUGCAGCCAUGCCGCGUGUAUGAAGAAGGCCUUCGGGUUGUAAAGUACUU